AGCAUAUUAUUAAGGGGAGGAAAAGAAACUAACAAGGAUUCCCCUAGUAACGGCGAGUGAAGCGGGAAGAGCUCAAACUUGAAAUCCACUGGUGUAACAACCUGUGGACUUGUAGCCUAGAGACGCUCUCUCAGCGCUAGACUGGCUAUAAAUUCCCUGGAAUGGGGUAUCAUAGAGGGUGAGAAUCCCGUCUUUGAGCUGGAUCUAAGUGCGUACGAGGGGCGUUCCAAGAGUCGCGUUGCUUGGGAGUGCAGCGCAAAUUGGGUGGUAAAGUUCAUCUAAAGCUAAAUACUGGCGAGAGACCGAUAGCGAACAAGUACCGUGAGGGAAAGAUGAAAAGAACUUUGAAAAGAGAGUUAAAAAGUACUUGAAAUUGUUAACAGGUAAGGGCAGGAAACCAGUAAUUCUUGAGUUCAUUUGCGGUCGCUCCGGCUGCCGUUACUUGGGCUUGGGAGAGUCAUCAUCAUUUAGAUUCUUUGGAGAAAGCGUAGGGGUUGGUGCCUUUCUUCGGAUCGGUUUAGUCCUUGCGUCCUACAUUGGGUCUGAAUGAGGAAGAUAACCCGCGCUCUUCGGAGCACGGCACUUUGAGGUCUGUUUGCCCUAGCGCGUGAGAGAGCAAAGCUCUGUCUGUGUGAAAGGCGAACACUACCUUGGAUGUGUCAGUUGCUGGGUUCGCGAUGAUGACGAAAUGGUUUUCUACCACCCGU
rnacentral:rRNA from 1 species